CGAACGAUGAAGCCCUUCGGGGUGGAUUAGUGGCGAACGGGUGAGUAACACGUGGGCAAUCUGCCCUUCACUCUGGGACAAGCCCUGGAAACGGGGUCUAAUACCGGAUAACACCGGCCUCCGCAUGGGGGCUGGUUGAAAGCUCCGGCGGUGAAGGAUGAGCCCGCGGCCUAUCAGCUUGUUGGUGGGGUAAUGGCCUACCAAGGCGACGACGGGUAGCCGGCCUGAGAGGGCGACCGGCCACACUGGGACUGAGACACGGCCCAGACUCCUACGGGAGGCAGCAGUGGGGAAUAUUGCACAAUGGGCGAAAGCCUGAUGCAGCGACGCCGCGUGAGGGAUGACGGCCUUCGGGUUGUAAACCUCUUUCAGCAGGGAAGAAGCGAAAGUGACGGUACCUGCAGAAGAAGCGCCGGCUAACUACGUGCCAGCAGCCGCGGUAAUACGUAGGGCGCAAGCGUUGUCCGGAAUUAUUGGGCGUAAAGAGCUCGUAGGCGGCUUGUCACGUCGGGUGUGAAAGCCCGGGGCUUAACCCCGGGUCUGCAUCCGAUACGGGCAGGCUAGAGUGUGGUAGGGGAGAUCGGAAUUCCUGGUGUAGCGGUGAAAUGCGCAGAUAUCAGGAGGAACACCGGUGGCGAAGGCGGAUCUCUGGGCCAUUACUGACGCUGAGGAGCGAAAGCGUGGGGAGCGAACAGGAUUAGAUACCCUGGUAGUCCACGCCGUAAACGUUGGGAACUAGGUGUUGGCGACAUUCCACGUCGUCGGUGCCGCAGCUAACGCAUUAAGUUCCCCGCCUGGGGAGUACGGCCG
rnacentral:rRNA from 1 species